UGAGUAGCUACUGAACAUCUAAGGAUUGUGUUCUUGUUCCAGGAAUGAAGAAGAGGAAAGAUGAAGGGGGAUGGAUAAGUGGCUAUAUUAGGACUUGCAACGUUUCCAGAAACUUCAACCAAAUUCUGCUUAUAUCUUGGUGCCCUGAAGCGUGUCCUACAGCCACAUUUAGCUGCCAAAGAGUCUGGCACAGUUUUACAUGUACUUCCAUUUUUGUGAGGAAGAGAAGGUUCAUUUGGAUGAUAACGGUUUAUAACUUGAGACUUUCAAGAUGGAGAAGGUAAUCAAUUUGGUUAGGGACGAAGAGGGAAGGCAUUGUGAGUGAGGUG